rnacentral:misc_RNA from 1 species
UUGUAGGCUGCAACUCGCC